GUGGAGACAGAGGAGGCGUCAGAGGUAGCUCCUGUAAACGUCUCGCUCAAUGUGGCAUUGAAAUCUGAUGUUCAGGGACUUGAUGUAUGGUCAUGCAAACUUUCUGAUUUAAGCUUCAAAUAGUUAGCAUAGUAUGAUGAUGUUGUUAAAUAAUUAAAAUCCUAUAGCUUUGUUCAAUAAUAACUUGGUUUUUGUUUUCCUGUAUAUGCCUGAGAAAGCUUUAUGAUCCACUAUUAAGACAUUGUGACCCGAUUGUGUUUUGGAUACGUCACAUUUCCUCGACGACAAAAAACAUUAACAAUGACUAAAUCAAAAAGCAAACUAUGUUAAAUUUUGUUGAUGCAAAGCAAUCAAGCCUGCUUAUAAGAAAUAUUUACUGAAAAUAGUCUGAAAAUGUUUCCUUAUUUCAAAAGAAAUAAUUUUGUGUUGCACUACGUUCAUGCAACAGUCAACAGAUCCAAAUAUCAGUUGAACAAACCUGAAUUUGGGAGAAGGGGAUCUCAAAGCUGAAGCUCUCGUUGAAGUAAGGGUUAAGAGUGUUUUGCUUCACAGAUGUCUUCUUUUUCUUGAGUCGCUUGCCGUUGUGUUGCAGAACCACCUUGACAAACGGAUCUGAGAGGGACAAACACGAGUCAACACAGACUUCCAAUACGAGUCGAUCAUCAGCCUUUAGAUCUUUCCAUUCAUGUAUUGGUUGUCCGAGGUCUAUGCUGUUCAUUGGGAUCUUGAUUUCGCCGAUGACAUCGUGUUUUCCAAAACGGUCGAAAUCAAAAACCUGCAGCACCAGAGUUUGACCACCCAGCUCACUCAUGUACACUUUAACGUAAGGGUCAGAGGUUCCGCCAAUGUCCAUCGCUGGGAGGUCCUGAGCCUGAAGGAUGCCCACGAUCAACUGGAGAAGAAUCCAAGAGCAGAAGAGCCGUUCAAGUUCCAAACUACAGCUGGGUCUCCGUUACAAAUGUACACAAAUCUACGUAAAGUCUAUUUUCUGCUACUGUUGAGAAAACACAAUUUUGCAUUUGUGGUGUUUCUAUUAAAUGAGAAAUGAAAUUAAAAUCACAUGUGAAUUAUCUUGUUCACUUGAUAAGUCAGUAAAUAUCAUGGCAGUGACUGAUGUGAACAGUUGCAUGAGAUGGUAGCGCUCAUCAUCUAUCAGCCAAUCAGGGGAGACGUCAGCGUCUUAUUCAGGCGUUGGGAGCGGCUGCGGAUCCACUGUUUUGGAUGUGUAAUUGAAAAUAAUGAGGUGGUAAAAUAUUAAUGGUCUUUCUUAAUGUGUAGCUGAAAUGAUGACUAGCUCAUCAAUGUUUUCCUUUAUGUAUUUGUUUAUUUUUUGCCAGCAAACCCAUGUAAGGCAUCAUAUUUUGUAUACUGUAAUACCAAAGCCUGUUUGUGUUCAGACCUUAAUAAAUUUCCUACCAAAGGAAAGUACAAGUU